AACGAACGCUGGCGGCAUGCCUAACACAUGCAAGUCGAACGAGACCUUCGGGUCUAGUGGCGCAAGGGUGCGUAACGCGUGGGAACCUGCCCCUAGGUUCGGAAUAACUCCCCGAAAGGGGUGCUAAUACCGGCUAAUGUCUUCGGACCAAAGAUUUAUCGCCUUUGGAUGGGCCCGCGUUGGAUUAGCUAGUUGGUAGGGUAAAAGCCUACCAAGGCGACGAGCCAUAGCUGGUCUGAGAGGAUGAUCAGCCACACUGAGACUGAGACACGGCCCAGACUCCUACGGGAGGCAGCAGUGGGGAAUAUUGGACAAUGGGCGAGAGCCUGAGCCAGCAAUGCCGCGUGAGUGAUGAAGGCCUUAGGGUUGUAAAGCUCUUUUACCCGGGAUGAUAAUGACAGUACCGGGAGAAUAAGCUCCGGCUAACUCCGUG
rnacentral:rRNA from 1 species